rnacentral:rRNA from 1 species
GCAUGUGGUUUAAUUCGAUGCAACGCGAAGAACCUUACCUGGUCUUGACAUAUUAGAAUCCUGCAGAGAUGCGGGAGUGCCUUCGGAUUAUACAGGUGCUGCAUGGCUGUCGUCAGCUCGUGUCGUGAGAUGUUGGGUUAAGUCCCGCAACGAGCGCAACCCUUGUCCUUAGUUACCAGCGGGUUACCGGGAACUCUAAGGAUACUGCCAGUGACAAACUGGAGGAAGGCGGGGACGACGUCAAGUCAUCAUGGCCCUUACGACCAGGGCUACACACGUGCUACAAUGGUAGGUACAGAGGGCAAAUCUUUCAAAGCCUAUCGUAGUCCAGAUUGGAGUCUGCAACUCGACUCCAUGAAGUAGGAAUCGCUAGUAAUCGCGGAUCAGAAUGCCGCGGUGAAUACGUUCCCGGGCCUUGUACACACCGCCCGUCACACCAUGGGAGUUGAUUGCACCAGAAGUGGUUAGCCUAACG